GAGGCUAUGGAUCGCCUGGUGGAUGCUCUACGGGGAGGCAUCAGGUAAGGGUCUAGUAGAAGAAGGAGAAGAGAAUGUCGGAGAAGAUGACCGGAAUCAGUCCCGUUGAGCACUCCUUUAAGAACAAGGGUACUGCAAAGACACACGACCCCCUUCCUCUAGCGCCAAUUCUGUUGGUGCAGAAUUCCAUCGAAGUCGGAGAA
rnacentral:lncRNA from 1 species